rfam:Phycisphaerae bacterium ST-NAGAB-D1, complete genome.
GGGGGCGACUGGUAUCGACCGGAUAGGUAGAUGGCCAGGUUGCAUGUCCAGGACGCCAGUUGGCCUGGUUAAUCAUCUGGCACCUUAAUUUAAUUGGCAACUCACAGUUGCGUAUGGCUGCCUAAAAUGGCAACCCGUUCUUGCUGACCUCGCCCGCGGGUUUGUAAAGAACGUCAAUUAGCGGGAUAGUCUCUGCGGUUGUCCGCGACGCAAAGGCGAAACUAAUUGCGGAAUAGCGAGUGCGGCAGCCUGUCGUUUGGCGGUUGCAUGAGCGAAUCUCAAACAAACGACUAAGCAUGUAGAAGCCUGACCUGAAAUAUCACGGGACGGGGGUUCGAAUCCCCCCGCCUCCAAUU